rnacentral:rRNA from 1 species
AAAAAUUUAAGGUUGGGCCUGCUCACUGAUAAUAAUUUUAAAGAGCCGCGGUAUUAUGACCGUGCAAAGGUAGCAUAAUCAUUAGUCUCUUAAUUAGAGACUGGAAUGAAGGGUUUAACAAGGAAUUUACUGUCUCUUAAUAAAUUAUAUAAUUUAACUUUUAAGUUAAAAGGCUUAAAUUUUUCUCUAAGACGAGAAGACCCUAUAGAGUUUAAUAUCUUAUUUAAUAUUAUUUUUUUGUAAAUUUUAUUAUUAUUAAUUCAAGAUAUUUUGUUGGGGUGACAUGAAGAAUUAAUAAACUCUUCAUUUUGUAAUCAUAAAUUAAUGUUUAUUUGAUCCAUAAUUUAUGAUCAAAAGAUUAAAUUACCUUAGGGAUAACAGCGUAAUUAUUUUUGAGAGUUCAUAUUGACAAAAUAGAUUGCGACCUCGAUGUUGGAUUAGGAUUAAUACUAGGUGUAGUAAUUUAGUAAUUAGGUCUGUUCGACCUUU